CGUGUGUGCUCCACAACAAUGUUAACUGAUAUAAAAUCAAAUUUAAGACAUAAUAGAUAUCUUUGAAGGCAUCAUACAGUGCAAAUUCACAAAAUUCACGAACAAGCUAUAUCCAACUAAAGUCAAACAUCCACCAAGUUCAAGAGUCCAAUCUGGGAUACUUAUGCUUUACUUUUCAUUACGGGGGCUUUUUGCUCUUUUCCCGUUUUAUUGUUUUUUUUUUAACCAUAACUGUGCAAUGUCUCAUUCCAUUAGGCUAACAGUGUCACCCCUUAGCGAGCUUUCGACCAACGACUCCCAGACCAUAUAAGACCUUAGGGCGCUAGGUUUUAAGAUACCCCUUCGGGCGUACUUACUCAAGUAACAAAGGCCCCGAAACAAAACUAGCCACGGUAAUUUUUUUUUUUUUUUUUUUUCUCUUUUUUUUAUAGAUGGUUGGUGAGUGCGUUUUACGCUCCAUCUCACGCUUGUGUUUAUGGGGAGUGUUUCUCCUCAACCCACCACAAGACUCAACAUGUUUUUUUUUUUAAGCUUAUAUACCCCAAAAUUUCCCCCCAAACUUAAGUUUUUAUCAAAAUUUAGCCAUCUCCGCCUAUUCAUGUCUUUCAUUCCUUCACACUAGUAUUAUACUUAAGAAAUCCAUUAUGUAUCAAUUUAAACUUAAUCAGUUAACAUAGCUGUUAUUAACGUGCUAACCUUGAUUAUACCAGUUUCAAACAGGAAAAGAUUCAAUUCAUAACAAGAAAUCACAUCAAAGCCUGAAUAUUCAAUACUAUACUUAUCUACUUAACUCCAGUCUCAU
rnacentral:lncRNA from 1 species